rnacentral:rRNA from 1 species
GACGAACGCUGGCGGCGCGCUUAACACAUGCAAGUCGAACGGAAAGGCCUGCUUUCCCUUGUGGAUUGCGGGUACUCGAGUGGCGAACGGGUGAGUAACACGUGAGUGAUCUGCCCCCAACUUGGGUAUAAGCCUGGGAAACUGGGUCUAAUUCCCGAUAGGACUGCAGGGUGGUGCCUGUGGUGGAAAACGAUUUUCUAGUGGUUGGGGAUGAGCUCGCGGCCUAUCAGCUUGUUGGUGGGGUAAUGGCCUACCAAGGCGGCGACGGGUAGCCGGCCUGGGAGGGUGGACGGCCCCAUUGGGACGGAGCUGCGGCCCAGGCUCCUACGGGAGGCAGCCGUGAGGAGUAUUGCACCAUGGGCGGGAGCCUGAUGCAGCGACGCCGCGUGGGGGAUGACGGCCUUCGGGUUGUAAACUCCUUUCGACCGCGAGGAAGCCACCUGGUUGGAAGGGUGGUGACGGUAGUGGUAGAAGAAGCACCGGCUAACUACGUG